rnacentral:rRNA from 1 species
AUUGAACGCUGGCGGCAUGCCUUACACAUGCCAGUCGAACGGCAGCACGGGAGCAAUCCUGGUGGCGAGUGGCGAACGGGUGAGUAAUACAUCGGAACGUGCCCAGUAGUGGGGGAUAACCCGGCGAAAGCCGGACUAAUACCGCAUACGACCCACGGGUGAAAGCGGGGGAUCGCAAGACCUCGCGCUAUCGGAGCGGCCGAUGUCAGAUUAGCUAGUUGGUGGGGUAAAGGCCUACCAAGGCGACGAUCUGUAGCUGGUCUGAGAGGACGACCAGCCACACUGGGACUGAGACACGGCCCAGACUCCUACGGGAGGCAGCAGUGGGGAAUUUUGGACAAUGGGCGCAAGCCUGAUCCAGCCAUGCCGCGUGCGGGAAGAAGGCCUUCGGGUUGUAAACCGCUUUUGUCAGGGAAGAAACGCUCCGGGCUAAUACCACGGAGUAAUGACGGUACCUGAAGAAUAAGCACCGGCUAACUACGUG